UACCAUGAGUAAAGUGGCGGACGGGUGAGUAACACGUGGGUAUCCGCUCUUUGGUGGGGAAUAACUCUGGGAAACCGGAGCUAAUACCGCAUAAGUCCGAGAGGAGAAAGGCGAAAGUCGCCGAAGAAGGAGCCCGCGGCUGAUUAGCUAGUUGGUGAGGUAAUGGCCCACCAAGGCGAAGAUCGGUAGCCGGCCUGAGAGGGCACACGGCCACACUGGCACUGAGACACGGGCCAG
rnacentral:rRNA from 1 species